GCGCUUCUUUGUGGGGAAAUGACCUCAACACCACUGGGGGAAACAUAUGACAAGCAUUUGUGGAUUAAUUAGGAUGCUUCUAAACCGAGAUAUUUGCAUAUUCACUUCAAUGGGAUCUCUGAGAGCUAGGAGAGCCAAGGAAUUGUGCCUUGCACUGGACCAGAACAGACCUGGGAGGUCAUAUACUUCAAAGGCUGUAAAAGAAGAAAUAUAAGAGAAG